CAGCCGCCGCGGUAAUACCGGCGGCCCGAGUGGCGGUCACUAUUAUUGGGCUUAAAGCGUCCGUAGCCGGGUUGGGAAGUCCUCCGGGAAAUCUGGCCGCUUAAAGGUCAGAAUGCCGGAGGAUACUCCCAGCCUAGGGAGCGGGAGAGGCCGAGGGUAUUCCCGGAGUAGGGGGGAAAUCCUAUAAUCCCGGGAGGACAACCUGUGGCGAAGGCGCUCGGCUGGAACGCGUCCGACGGUGAGGGACGAAGGCCAGGGGAGCAAACCGGAUUAGAUACCCGGGUAGUCCUGGCUGUAAACGAUGCGGACUUUGUGUCGGACAAGCUAUGAGCUUGUCCGGUGCCGGAGGGAAACCGUUAAGUCCGCCGCCUGGGGAGUACGGCCGCAAGGCUGAAACUUAAAGGAAUUGGCGGG
rnacentral:rRNA from 1 species